AGAUUCGGCCGCGCGACACGGCACGCGAGAGGGCGCGCGAUAUUGGGGCACGCGGCAGUGCGCGAGCCCAGGCGGUAGCGCCGAAACGCCGUCGCGGCCCCAGCGCAGCCAAAGCCCUGCUCGCGGGGGGAAAUCCCGCUGUGCCUCCCAGCAUCGGGGAACACCGACCGCCCGGCGAACGCACAGAAAGCCCGCACUGCCCAAGGGCAGUCAAGGGAGAGGAGGACUCAUGUGACAAGGGACUGGAGAAGAGAGAAGGAAGGGACAGACAAACCAGGCUGGUUCUACGGUCUUCAUAAUACAGAACAGCAACUGGUGGAUUUUUUUUUUUUCCCCAGACAGAUAGAAUAACUCCUGUGAUGGAAUUAAAAUAUCAUGUCCUACAUGUGAAACAAGCAAGCCUGAGUUAGAAAGAGUGCAGUGUAGAAAGAUGUAUGAGAUCAGGGGAAUUCCUUCUUAAACAAAUUGAAAGAAGAGCAGCCCACAGGUGUGUGAACUCUGGAAGAAGCAUGUGUCAGGGAGAAACUUUCUCACUCAUAAUACCUCAUAGAAGGGAUAGUAAAGCAACCAAUAAAAAAAUGCUAUUUAACAUGAUAUGAAAUUAUAAACUAUAAUCUGAAAUUA